rnacentral:lncRNA from 1 species
AUAUCUUGUGAUGAAUAGUAUCCAAUAACUUUUAUUAAUUCAUAAUUCAUAUACAAAUUACAAAGAGCAUAAUCAUCCAAUGAUUGGUUUUAAGACAUAUUUUCUAACAUCCACUUCGAUCAGUCUGUGGGUAGGGAGCACCAAGUGGCCUAAUAGGAUCUCCAGAGGGUUGGUUCCUUCAUUUUCUUUAUCAUGGCCUCUGCUUCGAUCCGCCC